UACGUAGGGUGCAAGCGUUGUCCGGAAUUAUUGGGCGUAAAGAGCUCGUAGGCGGUUUGUCGCGUCUGCUGUGAAAACUCGGGGCUUAACCCCGGGCCUGCAGUGGGUACGGGCAGACUAGAGUGCGGUAGGGGAGACUGGAAUUCCUGGUGUAGCGGUGAAAUGCGCAGAUAUCAGGAGGAAUACCGGUGGCGAAGGCGGGUCUCUGGGCCGUAACUGACGCUGAGGAGCGAAAGCAUGGGGAGCGAACAGG
rnacentral:rRNA from 1 species